UCGGAUUCCACGCGCGCCCUCUCGCCGGGGUGUGAGCUGCCUGCGCGCGCCUGUGUGUGUGUGUGUGUGUGUGUGUGUAUGCGCGUGUGUGAGGCGCCUCGUGCGUGCGUCUCCUGCGGUGUCUGGGUGCCUGUGCAAAGCGACUGGCUCCACUCAAGGUAUCCUGGUCUGAUCCUGACUUCAUGUGCCUUCAUAUUACACUGUGGAUCUUCUGUCAAUCUAUAUGGCUAAUGAAACAUUUCAGAAGAAAGGGCCACCAUCCUCAGAUAACCGGGCUCUGAGAAUUAUGACAGCAGAAUGAGAUCCUUGUAGCAGCCUUCAUUAUUUAAAGUUAUUUUUCACAAGUAGCAACUAAAGAUUA